UUUUUGGUGGAAAAGUAGAAGAAAACUUAUCAGCUAGCAUUUAAACAUAUUGCAUUAAAUAAUAGUACUUGAUACUUGCCAACUACCAAAUUAAUUUGACAGAAAAACUAAAGUUAUUUGAACAUUAAUUGUAUGAUUAGAACUUAUAAUGGUUUGGGGGGCCUGGGUGGUUCAACCGGUAAAGCAUCUAACCGUUGAUUUCAGCUCAGGUCAUGAUCUCAGAAUCCCGGGAUCAAGCCAGCGGCAGCCUCCAUGCUCCUUGGAGCAUCUGCUUGAGAUUCUCUCUCUCUCCCUCUCCCUCUGCCCCUCCCUUCACUUGUGCAUGCGCUCUCUUUUUCUAAAUAAAUAAAUAAAAUCUUUAUUUAAAAAAAAAAAAACCUAUGUUGGUUUGAAGCCACUUUUAAAAGCUUAUUAUUUUAAAGUAAUUUUUAAAAAUAUUAUUCCAAAUGCCCAGAGUGGGCAUUCAAAUGUGGAGUAAAUUCUCCACUGCCCAGAAGACACCAAAAGGGGUUUCAUUGGAAACAUGUCGAUAAUACCUUUAUCCUUUCAAAUAUACAAAGGUGAUUUUGUUACCUAAAUCACACAUUCCAUCCUUAAUUGAGAUUAUAAGCCUAAAUAUUUGCUCCAAACAAGCUCUUAGGAAAUUAUGAACAAAGUUGUCUACUUAAUUUUGACGCAAAGUAAAAUGUCACAAUUUACUGUCCCUGAUCACAAUUUGGGCAUCUCAACAGUGGCAUGCUAAGCAUGUCCCUUCUUGAAUUAUUGCCAGCUAACAUUCAUUUUGAUAUAUGAAUAUCACCGGGGAAAUUCAGAACCCUUCAGCCACUUACGUCUCACGUUAAUACUCCCAAGUGGUUUUAUUAAAGGCGCCAGCAUUGCUACCCAUUAGGAGUUGUCAUGCAGUGUUUUAUUUUGAUAUUUUACUUCACUGAUUUUCAUCAUAGUUUCCUACCUAGGUUCCAGACACUAUGACUGCAUUCAUAAACUUGCAUAUAAUAUGCAUGUGAAAUCAUAUUUCCUUCUUGGACGUGUUAGCAAAAUUCCAUCUGUCUGUUCCUUUUUAAACUGUUAAGUUUUCCACAUUGAGGAGAGAAUUGGGUUACAAUUACCUACUGUGGCUUUUCAUCAAAAUAACGUUUUAAGUGGUAUGUAAUAUUGUUCCAUAUUAUCCCUUGCCUGAGGAGUUUCAAAUAUUUCACACACCCAGAUAUUUCUACAAUAAACCAAAAGACAUAUUAAAGCAUUUUAAAGUCGAAAGGAAUUUUUAGAGAUUUUUCUAGUCUAACCCCGUCAUUUUUCAGAUAAGAAAGUUCAGCUCAAAAAGAUUAGAGAAGCAGGAGGGCAUGUGGGUGAGAAUGUGAAGUCUGGGGCCAGACUGCCUGGGUUCAAAGAUGUCUCCACCACAGCUUCAUGUGGGACGUUGCCAACACACUUCACUUUUCUGUACCUUUGUUUCAGUGAUAAUAAUACUUACUCUUUAGGGUUUCUGUGAGAAUUAAAUGAGAUUCAUUACCAAGAAAAACAGUUCUUUUCCAUUCACAUAACUUCAAUGAAGAGGAAAUUUCCUUAAAUACAUCUGGCUAUGGCUUUAGAAGAAGUCUAUGAUGACAUAGCCCAAAUUCUUACUCUAUUUUUUCCUAGGAUUAAUAACCCCUAGAAAACUCAAUUUUUUCUCUGUUCUAUACAUCUCAGGAUGCCCUUUAAUGGAAAAUCUCACAGUUAACCAGCAUGGUUCAAGACUGCAUGCAGAAAUCUAUUUUAUCCCAGGGUUCAGUAUUUGGAAGCCCAUUGUUGCCAUGCCGUCUGAUAAUAGCUUCAUUAGUCAUAAAGGUGAUACUUGGUUCUCCAACUGACCAGUUUUGUUUUAUCUCUCAUUUGGUUCUGACCUCUGGCAAGAAAACAACAGCAGAAAGCACACAGUUCACAGAAUGCCUGACACAACAUGAGGACUCAAUUAGCAUUUGCUGUUACCAUCAUUGUGUCUUGCUCAGUCACCUAUCACAUUAGCAUCAAAAUUAAUAUUACAAACCAGAUCCCUUCGUCACAGUGCUAAGAUCUCAUCUAUGGACAGAAAAAAAAAAAGGACCUUUGAUUAUUUAGUACCUUAAGAUCAUAUAAUUAUGUUUCUAUUUCACAGUUCUUCAGAUCCACUUCACAACCAAUCACUAUGCCCUUUUUUUGAAGCAGACAUGUGCAGUAAAUAUUGAUCAAAUAUUCUUUGGGACCUACAAUUCAAAUAGCAGUAAUAUAUAUUCUUGCAUAAAAUAUUUAAGUCAUAUCUUGAUAUUUUUAGAUACAAAAAUAUGGAAGUAAAAAAACAGUCACUGCGUUUUUUUCUCAAAUGAAUAAACUACAUUUCUUGGAUUUGAAUUUUCAGUAAUGCUACAUUCCUCAUCUUUAUAACUUUUGAGGUUACAAUUUUCUGCUUAAAUUUGCUAUUUGACUCUUCCCACAAUUACCCAUAUAUAUGUACACUUACACACACACACUCUACAUAGAACAUACACAUAGUGGGAAUAUUUUAAAUUUUAGUAAAUUUAUUUUUUUAAUUCCAUAGUUUAAUAAGAAUGCCUAUGAAUGUUUGUAUAGAACUUUGAAUAACAGAUUUUAAGUUUCUUUAGAGCAGUUCCAAGAUCUUUUUCAUUUGUCUUAUUCAUCAUAAAUCAGGCCAUAUCAGUGCCUUACUUAAAACCUCCAAUAUCUUUCUGCCAUGUAUAGAAUCAAAUCCUGGGUGUGUGGGUGGUUCACUUGGUUGAGCAUCUGCCUUUAGCUCAGGCCAUGAUCCCAAGGUCCUGGGAUCCAGCCCUUCAUUGGGCUCUCUGCUC
rnacentral:lncRNA from 1 species